rnacentral:tRNA from 7 species
UCCGAAGUAGCUCAGUGGUAGAGCAUCCGGCUGUUAACCGGACGGUCGUAGGUUCGAGUCCUACCUUCGGAGCCA